AUGGCGCUCGAAGGAGGACCUUGGGAAUUUGGAAAUGAUUUACUCGUCUUUGAGGAUUUCGUAGCAAGUAAGCGUCCGGAGGAUUAUGCGUUUGACUCCAUCCCGAUCUGGGUUAGGGUUUUGCGCCUUCCGCUAGGAAUGAUGUGUAGGGAGGCAGGGGAGGCAAUUGGGGCAGAGAUAGGUGAAGUCUUGGAAGUGGAUGCACAGGCGGAUGGCAGGGCGGUUGGCAAGUUCCUGAGGGUAAAGGUUCGGAUGAAUAUCAAGGCUCCUUUGAUGAGAGGGUUUAUACCGGAUGAGGAAGAAGCGAAGGAUAACAAUGGUAAGGCGAUGGUGGUGGAGCCGGCAAGGGAGGUAGAUGAAGAGAAGAAUUGGUGCCCGUUUGAGUAUGAAUAUCUGCCAGGCUUCUGUUAUGUGUGCGGAAUCAUUGGGCACACUGAUAAAUCGUGUGGUCUAAAGCUGAAAAGGGGGGAGCAGCGGCAGUUUGGGCCCUGGCUGCGGGCUUUCCUCCCACGUAAGGCUGGUGGUGAUACUCGAAGCAAAUGGGGUGAGAGCAGAGCGGGGGCGAGUGGGCGGAGUCUGGGUAUCAAGAAUAGCGGUGCUUGGGAGAGGAGAGCCUACUCUGGCAGUGAUGCCCCCUCUUGGAGGAAAAAUAACGAGAGUUGGGGGGAGAUUGCAGAAGAGGAGAGGGUCCAAGAGGUUACCAGCCCACUCAAAAAGUUGGACACAGGGGGAAGAGGAGGAGCAGCCAAAAGGUUGACAUAUGCAGAAGAUGAGAAGAAGGUUUCAGAGGGAGAAAGGGAGGCGGGGCAAGGAGCUGGUAGGGAUGGCAAGAAUAGCAUGGGGUGA
rnacentral:rRNA from 1 species